GUUAUUUUGGCAGAUUAAUGCAAUAGAUUUAGAAUCUAUUUAUAUAAAUUUAUUAUUUAUAAAUAAUA
rnacentral:tRNA from 1 species